rnacentral:lncRNA from 1 species
AGGUGAGUGGUCAGCAGGCGAAAGAGGAGGUGUCCCAGCUGGUUCGGGGACUAGGGGCUGUGUUGGAAGAGAAGCGAUCCUCACUUCUUCAGGCCAUCGAAGAGUGCCAGCAAGAGCGUUUAUCCCGGCUCAGUGCCCAGAUCCAUGAGCACCAGAGCCUGCUGGAUGGCUCGGGUUUGGUGGGCUACGCCCAGGAAGUUCUUAAGGAAACAGACCAGCCUUGCUUUGUACAAGCAGCCAAACAGCUGCAUAACAGGAUUGCCCGAGCCACCGAGGCCCUCCAGACAUUCCGGCCAGCUGCCAGCUCCUCCUUCCGUCAUUGCCAGCUGGAUGUGGGACGGGAGAUGAAGUUGCUGACAGAGCUUAACUUCCUGAGAGGCUGUGGCCACCGCGGACUCUGCUCCGGAGCACCCCAGUGCCCGAGGCGCCUGUCAUCGACACCCAACGCACCUUUGCCUAUGACCAAAUCUUCCUGUGCUGGCGGCUGCCCCCUCACUCACCACCUGCCUGGCAUUACACUGUGGAGUUCCGGCGCACAGAUGUCCCCGCCCAGCCAGGCCCUACACGCUGGCAGCGACGGGAGGAGGUGAGGGGCACCAGUGCCCUCCUGGA